GCUUGCACUGAUCUGAUCUCGAGUUCUCUUUGGCUUGCAUAAGCUUGUGGAAACACAGAAAUAUGAAACCUUGAACACAAUCUACACAAUCUACUCGGAAGAUGCCAAGGAUCGCUAUGUCAAGAACAAUUAUAGCCAAGCAAUAGUAUCAUUUCAAGGAAAUCCAUAACUAUUGAAAAUUUGAAACUGUUGUAGACUGUAGUUAUAGUUUCUUGUCGAGGCCAUUAUAUGCUUGCACGUCAUGGAUAAAGUCGCAAGUUUUACCAUAAACUCCACUCUUAAAAAAAUAGCUUGUAACUACACACGAAACUGAUGCUAAGCUCAAGAAGUCUUCAUUUUUCAAUAUAUAUGUACACUUUAA